CUUGACUGCUGCUCAGCAACGGCGGGACGAAUAAAGUGAAAGGCUUCUGCUUCUCCAUGGCGUCUACUAGGCCUCGGCAGGGGCGGGGAAGAGGUCACGAGGCAUGUAUCAACACGGUGUUGGCUGGACUACAGUCUGCAAGGAGAACCUAACAUUUCCACCUAACAGUGAGCAGGAGUGCCAAGAUCAUGAGCGGAGGUUGAUUCUUUCCCGCUGUAAAGCUGGGCUGCGAGAAGGAACAUCACUUCAGUCUUCGACUCCUUCUGUAAUGCACUCUGAUCCUCACUGGUUAAAUUUUCAAAUCCUU